AUGCCUCGUCAUCUAAUUAGUGACGCGCAUGAAUGGAUUAACGAGAUUCCUACUGUCCCUAUCUACUAUCUAGCGAAACCACAGCCAAGGGAACGGGCUUGGAAUAAUUAGCGGGGAAAGAAGACCCUGUUGAGCUUGACUCUAGUCUGGCAGUGUAAGGAGACAUAAGAGGUGUAGCAUAAGUGGGAGAUAUUAUUACUUCGGUUUUUUUAUCAACAAUGAAAUACCACUACUCUUAUUGUUUCCUUACUUACUUGAUAAAAUGGAACGUGUAUCAUUUACUUAGCCAUUACACGGAUGUAUUUAUAUAUUUUAUGGUAUUUUGUUUUGAUGCGAGCUUCUCGCUUAAAGUGCCAAGGGUUUGUUAUAUACGCCAAACAGGUUACAAGGAAAUUAAAAAAUAUCACUUUAAAAUUGGUCUGAUUAAUAAUAUUUGAAUUUGGUAUAACUUUUAUACUCAGGCAUGAUCCAAUUCAAGGACAUUGCCAGGUGGGGAGUUUGACUGGGGCGGUACAUCUCUCAAAUAAUAACGGAGGUGUCCCAAGGCCAGCUCAGUGCGGACAGAAACCACACAUAGAGCAAAAGGGCAAAUGCUGACUUGAUCUCGGUGUUCAGUACAUACAGAGACAGCAAAAGCUCGGCCUAUCGAUCCUUUUGGUUUA
rnacentral:rRNA from 1 species